AUGGGCAUCUUCACGGCUCUGUUAGCGCUGGGGUUGUUGCCUCUUCUUGCUCCCAAAGCAACGAGUCCCAGCUCCAGCCCGCUUUUUGCUGUAAAAAAGCAUCAGGGAGAGCUGCCACGGGGCUGUUUUGGUGCCAAACAGCCUGGUUUGCGGCAUGAUGCAGCUCGUGAGCAAAACCUACCUCUGGUUCCCUGCCCUCCCCUGCCCACUGCCACCCCUCAGCUCCCCAGGAUUUCCCCAGCAGGGUUUAUCCCCGGGCACAGCACCCCAAGCCCUGCCCGCCUCACCGCUUGCUGGCUUCCCGAUCCCCUUCGUCUCCCCAAAAUCCCAGAAUCUCUCCCGGAGGCUGCCUCAGCGCUCCUGCUCGCCCGCAGCCACCGGCAAAAUGAGCUCCUGCCCAACACGGGGGCUGCUGGAGCCGGCAGCUCCCCUGUGCCGGGUUCAGGCUGGGUGCUCAGGGUGUUGGCACAGCCCUUCCUGCGUCCUCUUUUUGGGGAGAGGGGCCAAAAGGGGCUGGUGCUGCUCUUACUGCUCUCCAGCAUCCCACAGAGAACCUCUUGGUACUGGAGGAUGCUCCAGAAUGGCACCAAGGCUUCAGUGGGUGAGCAUCCUUCGGCACCUUGCCUUCUCCCCUCAGUGUGCAGCAGCCUCGCCGCGUCUCAGCAGGUUCCUGGUGUCCGUGUGUGUCCGUCCAGGGGGUCCCCGAGUGUCCCUGCCUCGUGUCACCUCGCCGGGGUCCCCAUCUCCGCCGGGGGCUCCUUGGCACCGUCGCGUUCUCCAUCGCAGCCGUGUCGUUGUCCCGGUGAAUCAGAGCCCGCUUGGUUUGUCCGCCGUGGGUACGCCGUUUUGGGGUCUCUGUGCGCAGUGUGGUGUGAGUUGUGUAGGAAAACAACAACAAAAAAUAACAAAAUACACAAAAAUCCACCUCCUGCCUGUGUGUGUGAAUUGCAGCCGGGGUUCAGAGGGGAAGGAGCCACCGAGCUUCCAGCAGGCCGUGACAAAAGGAUGGCAAAAGCCACCUUAGCGCCACCGCCCCACCCCGAACGAGCUGGUGGC
rnacentral:lncRNA from 1 species